rnacentral:rRNA from 1 species
UACGUAGGGGGCAAGCGUUAUCCGGAAUCAUUGGGCGUAAAGCGCGUGUAGGCGGUUCUGUAAGUCCGCUCUGAAAGCCCAGGGCUCAACCCUGGGAGGCGGGUGGAUACUACAGAACUGGAGUACGGAAGAGGAGAUUGGAAUUCCUGGUGUAGCGGUGAAAUGCGCAGAUAUCAGGAGGAACACCGGUGGCGAAGGCGGAUCUCUGGGCCAUUACUGACGCUGAGGAGCGAAAGCGUGGGGAGCGAACAGG